AUUGAACGCUGGCGGCAGGCCUAACACAUGCAAGUCGAGCGAGCGGCGGACGGGCGCGUAACGCAUGGGGACCGCCCCAUAGCGCGGGAUAACCACCGGAAACGGCAGCUACUACCGCAUCACAUCGGAUAACCCAGAUGGGAUGAGCUAGCAGGUGCGGUAAUGGCUCACCUAGGCGACGAUCCCUAGCUGGUCUGAGAGGAUGAUCAGCCACACUGGGACUGAGACACGGCCCAGACUCCUACGGAGGCAGCAGUGGGGAAUAUUGCACAAUGGGCGCAAGCCUGAUGCAGCCAUGCCGCGUGUAUGAAGAAGGCCCUAGGGUUGUAAAGUACUUUCAGUCGGGAGGCGUUACCGACAGAAGAAGCACCGGCUAACUCCGUGCCAGCCGCCGCGGUAAUUC
rnacentral:rRNA from 1 species